UGAUACGGAAAUACUAAUUCUAGGGUUGGAGAAAAUUUUAUUUAAUUUAAUUUAGUCAUAUGAUUAAUCUGCUGGGACAAGACGUGGUGCAAACAUAAAAUAAGGAUUUAUAGAUCACUGGGUGAUAUAAUUUAACGAAUGCCACGGUCUAACGUUGGGUGAACUGUAGGAAAUGCAGGGUUAAUAAUAAUAGAUAUAUGAAGGUGUAAGAAAAUCACUCUGUUUUUUUUUCAAGGUUUAGACUAAACACACGAAAACUAAGAACAGGAUACUUAAUAAAGGACUGAAUUGCAUGAGGUAAAAAUUGUGCUUGGGUCUAUUAUCAUGGAUACAAAUGUUAAACACAGAUAUAAAAUCUUUACUUAGAGCUCUAUGUGUCAGGGUUCUCUGUUGGUCGGUGCUCAAAUUCUGCUCCACAGGUGGUUUGAGUUGGCUGGGGGGGCGUGACCCACACCAGGCAGAUGGAUGACGCCGGAGCCUUACCCAGUCGUGUUUUGUGUUUUUGGAUUACUCACCCGGUUUUGACGUCUUGCUCGACGAACCUGCACCAGAAGAAUCCGUUGCUCUGGCGCUCCCCCUCUUGCUCCCUUGAUAUUACCAAGCCGGGCUCGAGGUUCCCCUUCCCGGAUUCUGCUGGUUCUUUCAAAUCCUCUGGUCAAACCAUCUGCCUCACCGUCAGUCGUGGCUCGUCUGGGAUCCCUCGCUGACAAACCAUCAGUCCGCCCUCCAGCUGCUAACCACCGCCCGUCCUCCAGAGCACUCGGCCGCAGAGUUUCCCUCACUGUCUCUCCCCAGUUAGGUCCACUCAAACUAAAUGGUAAGCAGCUUGGCUUCCGGAGAUUUUCCCCUUGGUUCUUCGUGCUUAACAUCUCCCUUCUUUCUCUCCGCAGUUUCCUCCUGCACUGACGUUCAGACCUCGAUCACAUCACAUUGUGUUAUCUCUGUAGCCUGAACUUUAAGAAAUCAUCUUAAACUACGCUCUGUCGUCCAUAAUGUGUCUGCGUGUGGGCUAAACAUAUUAAAACCAUGAUUCCAUGGUUUGUUCUUUGAUUAGAAAAGGUACAGCACGAACAAUUUGUGACUAACCUGAGUAAUGACACCAAUCACACCCAUCGGCUGACUGGAAGACAGACCCAUCACUUCAGUGACUUUCAUGAUCAUUCUGAUAACAUCUGGUGAAAACUAACACAUCAGACUGUACGGAAAACGAGAAAUGACAGUUAUGCUUGUUCUCUGAUUCCACAUGCUUUUGAUAACCAACCAUUGUUAUUACCUGUUUCUAUUGACACUGCCUAUAUUCUAGCAACAUUUUUCCCUAGUCAUCAAUCUAACAGGUUAGUGGAGACCAUUUUUCCGUGGGUAAAGAAUUACACGUAAGUUUUUUUAUGACUAAUUUAACUUGUGCCAUUACAGGAACUCUUUACAGGUUUCAAGCAGGAAUCCCAUAAGCAAUCCAGACAUCUGUUUAGAGCAGGAAGAAUCCACACCUGAUUUUCAGGGAAGGACAGUAGAUUGUAAAGUAAUCAUACCUGCUUCAUGUGCAAUGACCCAUAGAAAUCACUCCUCCAAGUCAUGUGUGGUUAGAUCUGACUCUUAUACAAUUCCAGGAUCUUCAUUUCCAGCACGCUAUGUUUUAAGCCUUAAUCUUACAGCUUUGCCAGACGGAAGUAAACUGUAUGGUACAGGUAACUUAACCGCAGUUGUGGUACAUUUUCCUAGCAGAGAUGGAUAUUCAUGUCCUAAGAACAUGGUUUGGAUGUGUGGAAUUAGAUCAUAUUUGUAUCUGCCUGCUGAUUGGUCUGGAGUGUGUUAUUUAGGUCAUUUACUACCUGUCAUUAACACUUAUAAUUCAAUUAGCCCAUUACUGGAACAGAGCAAGGCUUAAACAGCAAAAGGGAUCUUGGGAACCUUAUUUCCUCAUUACGGUGUUACUAAUGCAGCACAUAGAACCAAUGACCUGUUGAAUUACAAAAUCUCACUGCUUUAACUGAAAAAGUUUUCUCCUCUCUGACAAAGGAACAACAGGCUAUCAGAACAAUGACCUU